GAUGAACGCUGGCGGCGUGCCUAAUACAUGCAAGUCGAGCGAACGGACGAGAAGCUUGCUUCUCUGAUGUUAGCGGCGGACGGGCGAGUAACACGUGGAUAACCUACCUAUAAGACUGGGAUAACUUCGGGAAACCGGAGCUAAUACCGGAUAAUAUUUUGAACUGCAUGGGUCAAAAGUGAAAGACGGUCUUGCUGUCACUUAUAGAUGGAUCCGCGCUGCAUUAGCUAGUUGGUAAGGUAACGGCUUACCAAGGCAACGAUGCAUAGCCGACCUGAGAGGGUGAUCGGCCACACUGGAACUGAGACACGGUCCCGACUCCUACGGGAGGCCGCAGUAGGGAAUCUUCCGCAAUGGGCGAAAGCCUGACGGAGCAACGCCGCGUGAGUGAUGAAGGUCUUCGGAUCGUAAAACUCUGUUAUUAGGGAAGAACAAAUGUGUAAGUAACUGUGCACAUCUUGACGGUACCUAAUCAGAAAGCCACGGCUAACUACGUG
rnacentral:rRNA from 1 species